AUCCCUAUAGUGCAAAGGAUAGCGCUUUGGACUUCUAUUCCAAAGGUUGUGGGUUCCAAUCCCACCUGGGAUG
rnacentral:tRNA from 1 species